CUCCUGCCUUCAACCAACCAGCCUCCCGUCAGAGAGAGACAUGCGCAGUGAGUGCCUCCCGUCUCUUCUACCCGAACCCCCCCUCCCCCCCAAGCAGAGAGACCCCAGCAGCAGCAGCAGCUGAUGAUGAAGAGAGAGGCAGUGGCAGAGGGGGGGCACCUUUUAUUUCUAUUUUUAAAGGGACAGGACACUAAUUUUACCCCACUUCAACCUUGAAUUGAGGGGGGUGGGGGGAAGGCGGCUGAGUUCCUUCCCCCACCCUCCAGCCCUGAGACCUGAGAGGGAGAUUGAGCCUGAGAGAGAAGGAGAAGGAGUUUCUUCUUCUUCGAAAACCCCCAUCCACGACUCCUACCCCCUCACCCCUCCACUAGCCUCCCUCCCGAGCCCCCUCCAUCCUCCUCCUCUUUGGCCGUGAGAGGAGGAGAGAAAGAGACCAAAAGCCUCUUAGCAACACAGACCCUUCUCUGCUGCUGUUGCUGCUGCUGCUGCUGCUGCUGCUGCUGCUGCUACUGCUGCUGCUGCUUGGCCCUGGCUGGAGACAUCUCACUACACCCAGGAGCAGCCACUUCCCCAGCUCUCCUCCUCCUUCGCCUCCUCCUCCUCCUCCACUCCCCCCCCCCUUUAUUACCCUUUGUGUCAUCCUCCACAGCUCCAGGGAAGGCACUCAAAAGUGGGGGGCAGGAAAGCUGCAACUGAAACAGCGACAUACACUAAUGACCAAAAGGAACAGUGAUGUUGCUCAUCAAAAAAUUACUGAUUGGCUUUGGAAUCCAUAGAACUCAAAACCAUAUGCUAAAGAUGCUUAUUGAAGAUAUCAGUUUCUGCAUGUGGGAAGUAGAUAUUGAAUGUUAUAUGGUUUGCAGACAAGAUCUUUAAAAAAAAGACACUCAAGGACCAAGGGAAUAAAUACCGGAAGUCAAGAGCACAGAAUAUUUUCCUUCAUCAAUCCACAGAACCCUGACACUUUUCUAAUUCCAUCAAACAUAGAGGAAUGACCACCUUGGCAGAUGGCCACAGAGGAUGUCAACAAUUUUUUGGAG